UACGUAGGGUGCGAGCGUUAAUCGGAAUUACUGGGCGUAAAGCGUGCGCAGGCGGUUCUCCAAGUCCGUUGUGAAAGCCCCGGGCUCAACCUGGGAAUGGCAGUGGAAACUAGGGGACUGGAAUCUGGCAGAGGGGGGUGGAAUGCCGCGUGUAGCAGUGAAAUGCGUAGAGAUGUGGAGGAACACCGAUGGCGAAGGCAGCCUCCUGGGCCAACACUGACGCUCAUGCACGAAAGCGUGGGGAGCAAACAGG
rnacentral:rRNA from 1 species